AUUAAUAAUUAAAAGAAAAAAAAAUGGUAAAAUUACCUUAAAGAGAAAUAUUGUCCAAGGUGGUUGUCGAUUCCCGGCAAAUAUAAAAUCAUCGAAGGUGCACACAGUACAAACACUCGAAUGAAUCUAAAGAAAGGUUUAAGAACAAACCUGUACACAAACUACCCGACAAAACAGGGCUGGUUGAAUUUACCAAUCAGAGUCUUGCUGCUCAAUUUCGUUAAGCUAGUACUGGAGCAACCACCACCACCACUUCAAAUAAAAAUGGUAGUAAUUUUUCAGGCACGAUUCAAGACACAUGGACAAGUGGGUGGUUGAAGAAGGAGUUUAAGAACCAGGGUGGUGUACCAGUCAGCUUUGCCGACACGCGACUUCCGGCUACUGAACUACCAGGCACGCUACUAUAUACGCUGUGUAAAAUAAUGCUUUUCUAACUAUAAUAAUAAAGUUUUCCAAUAAUUAUGCAGUAAUUCAGUAAAACUUUGUAAAUAAUAUUGUGAAGAAU